rnacentral:rRNA from 1 species
CCGAAAGGCAGGAGUGCCUGCAAGGGAGCGCGGAGACAGGUGGUGCAUGGCUGUCGUCAGCUCGUGUCGUGGGAUGUUGGGUUAAGUCCCGCAACGAGCGCAACCCUCACCUCUUGUUGCCAUCAGGUCAUGCUGGGCACUCUAGAGGAACUGCCCCGGUCAACGGGGAGGAAGGCGGGGAUGACGUCAAGUCAUCAUGCCCCUUACGUCCUGGGCUACACACGUGCUACAAUGGCCGGUACAAAGGGAUGCCACACCGCGAGGUAGAGCUAAACCCAAAAAGCCGGUCUAAGUUCGGAUUGGAGUCUGCAACUCGACUCCAUGGAGGAGGAAUCGCUAGUAAUCGCGUAUCAGCACGACGCGGUGAAUACGUUCCCGGGCCUUGUACACACCGCCCGUCACACCACGAAAGCCAG